rnacentral:lncRNA from 1 species
CAAGAAAGCCUCUCUGGCUGGGUUUGGCAAGGCCACUUGAGGGCUUGCAACAGCCCCCCUGGUUUCCCAACCUUUUCUGGGAGGCCAGACCCAGGGGAGUAAAGAGGGGAGGCAGGAAUGGGACAGUCUGAGGACCUGGGCCCAGGGGAUUGGGAUUUGGAUACAACCAACAGGUCCCUCUCUUCCUUCAGUAGAACCAGAGCAUGCAGAGCAAAAAGAAGCCCUCAGACAUCAGCUUGUACAAACUGGCUUGAUGCAGUACCUAAAGAUGGCUGAGGAUGCUUAUAUGGCUGCUUUAUCACCAAGGCAAAAGAGGUUGAUCCAGUUGCCUGGCAACAGAAGCUUCUUCCUGUACCCCCCGCCCACCUGCUGUUGAGAAUCUCUCGGUCAUGUUCCAUCUGCCCACGAGUGAGCAUUCGCGUCAUUCAUCAGUUAGUGGUGAGAACAUCCAAGGCUCGGGGGAUUCAGCAGCUGUCCUGAGUGCCACAGUAAGUGAUAGAGCCUGGAUUUAAACCCAUCUUUGCUUGACUCUAAAGCUUGAGACAGAAACAGCCCAUCCUCGGAGUCAAGUGAACUUAGAGAAGACCUAGGACAAUUGUCGGGGACAGUGGUAGCCAUGGGUUUUGUUGUUUGUUUUUUGAGAUGGAGUCUCUCUCUGUCACCCAGGCUGGAGUGCAGUGGUGCAAUCUCAGCU